rnacentral:lncRNA from 1 species
CUGGCUCUGACCGUUUCCUCUCAUGGGUUUGCUUUACCUGUGGCAGCAGGUUGCUGCUUUCCAGGGAUGUGUCCAGUGCCCUGGGUUCUUCCCGGUCAUCCUGGGGCUCUGCACAGAGCAGCAGAGCUAGAGCCAUGAAACCCACAGACUUGGUGCCUGAGCGCAGCUCCAGGGAAGCCCCAGCCCCUUCCAGGCGGGGAACCUGCUUCCUGCCUUCACUGCCCCCGCAGCACUCACAGACAUCUCCCUGGGGUCUGGCUCACUGCCUUAUCAGGACCUCUGAGUUUUCUGACUUUCUGUGUAGCUUCUCAUUUUCAUCAGCACAGCAUGGGGUCACGGCCCACAGCUAGGUGGGGUCACGGCCCACAGCUAGGUGGGGACUGUCUGCUGGCUCAGGGCCCAGUGUUUUGCCACUCAGGUUGCAAAAUUAGCUAAUCCUUCAGUGCCAGCACUCAGAAGUCUGGCAGGUGGGGGAAUGAGAUGAGAAAGUGGACAUUUAAGGUCCAAGUAGAAGCUUGCAUCCUUGAGGCUCAGGGAUGAGAGGGCACCGCAAGGCACCCAGCCUUACCCCACAAGCAGGAAUCCUGCCAGCCGAGCGUGGGUCCCAGUCUAGUUUAUGGAAUCGAGUCUCCCAGACAAAAAAGGAGAGGCCCUGGCGGUCCUUGGCCUGGCCCAUUUUAUUCCCUGGACCCUUAACUGCCUCACCCUGAGCUGGGCACCAAGGUUAGAAGGCAAAAGUGGGGUAGGGGGAUGUGGGAAGCAGCAUUGUCCUCUGGGCAUGUGGCUCAGAGGUAUCACAGUGACAAAAGAGCCAGGGCUAGGGCUGGAGGGGCCAAGUGAUCUUCCUUAGCCAAUCCCAGUCCGUCUGUGUCAGCCCAGCUCUGCCUCGCAGCCCCCUCAGCAUGGGUGCCCCCAGAAGUAAGCAGCUCUUGGACCCACGAGCAGGGCUGCGUCGGUUUGUGGUCUAGCUCCCAGGGCCAGGCCAGGCAUGGCUCAGUGCAGUCCCUGGGCCAGUGAGAGGCCUCCCCCAUGCCUCCCUGCCCUCUGCACUAAGCACUUUCCAGGCAGGCCUGGCCAUAGGGCAAGAGCAGGCCUUACAGCAGUGCCACGGUGACCCAAGAGGCAGGGUUGGGGCCUGGACAGGGCUUCCUCUGCUGAGACUGAGACAAGCAGGGCUUGAUGCUGGUGGUGGAGCCAGCAUCUCACCUGCCAGGCUUCCUUUUGGGCAGGGAGGCUACCUGUGGAAUGGCUGAGCCUGGUUCUGCAGGGGAGGAAGGCUGCCAGGAGCUGAGGGGCUGGCACCUGCAUUGAGGGGAGUCUGGGUGCAUCAGAUUGGGGGGCACCAGAGGCGAGGCUGCCUGGCUCCCUUUCUCAGCAGCUUUGCUUGUGGCAGGGGUGAGAGUGGAGCUGAGUGGGGUCUGGGCUCUGCCCCUGCGCCUCCACUGCAGUGCCUGGGCUCCCCUUGCAGGGCAGACAGUGCCUGGCACUGAGGGGUGCCCCCAGACCCCGCUGGGACUGGAUGUGCCGUGGGCAGUGCCUUCCUCCAGCCUCACAACCUUUCUGCUGGGGCUGAAGUUUCUGGGGUCACAUGGUCAGAAGGGGCUGAGCUGGUCUUUCACUGCAGGCCCACUCUGAAAG